rnacentral:rRNA from 1 species
UACGUAGGGGGCAAGCGUUGUCCGGAAUCAUUGGGCGUAAAGAGCGUGUAGGCGGCCAGAUAAGUCCGCUGUGAAAUCUCGAGGCUCAACUUCGAGCUGUCGGUGGAAACUGUCUGGCUAGAGUCCGGAAGAGGAGAAUGGAAUUCCUGGUGUAGCGGUGAAAUGCGCAGAUAUCAGGAGGAACACCAAUGGCGAAGGCAGCACUCUGGGACGGUACUGACGCUGAGACGCGAAAGCGUGGGGAGCGAACAGG